CAUUUAUCAGCUGUUCUAAAAUUGCAGUUAUUGCUCUUCACCUCUAACUUCACCAAUUUAGUUUUUGUUCCUUACAAGAAACGAGAAAUUAUUGUUUUCACGAUAUAAUUCCUUUUAAUGUUUUCUGCAAGAGCCUAAUUACUCAUUUGUCUAUUUUUCAGCUGUAGCGGGUCCCGAACAAGCUUCUUUAGACUGGCUUAGACUAAACCACGAGCCGUUGGACGCUGUUGAGAAACACUGGAUUUUGACCCAUCAAUUUCGAUUUAAUGCUUUGCUCAACGACUCUAACACCUUAGUUCACGACUAUUACGAACAAUAUCCGUUUCUCCGCGUUCCUGAAAAUGGGAUUCGACUGAUUGAACGGGACUUCAAAUUACUAUACCCACAAGCAGAGAAUAACUUCAUCGACUUCUGGGGUGAAGUCGCAGAAAAAAUCUUGAUUCUUGCCAAAGCAAAAUAUGAAAAGGAGGAAAA